rnacentral:rRNA from 1 species
UACGUAGGGUGCGAGCGUUGUCCGGAAUUAUUGGGCGUAAAGAGCUCGUAGGCGGUCUGUCGCGUCGGUCGUGAAAACUUGGGGCUUAACCCUGAGCUUGCGGUCGAUACGGGCAUGACUGGAGUUCGGCAGGGGAGACUGGAAUUCCUGGUGUAGCGGUGAAAUGUGCAGAUAUCAGGAGGAACACCGGUGGCGAAGGCGGGUCUCUGGGCCGAUACUGACGCUGAGGAGCGAAAGCGUGGGGAGCGAACAGG